UGAGGUGUAGCUUGUUGGUAGAGUGCUUGCUUACCAUGUGCAAGGUCCUGGGUUCAAUCCUCAGCACCAUAC
rnacentral:tRNA from 1 species